GGGGAUGUAACUCAUAUGGUAAAGUGUUCGCUUUGCAUGCAAGAGGUAUGAGGAUCAAUACCCCGCAUCUCUA
rnacentral:tRNA from 1 species